UUCUUUUUUUUUGGUGCUUGCCCCUUUCAUACUAUCAAAUGUUUAAUUAUGCGACAUGCAAGGAGUGCAAUAACAAUAAGUGUGCUGCACUGCGAAAAAUUGAACAUAUUGGUAUAAAAAAGAGAUUAUACUUAAGAUAACUGAUCCAUAAUACUACCAAAAAGGAAACCAUUAAUUUUUGUAGCUAUUCAUUCGAUGUUUUUUGUGUGAAGCAGCGAGUCAAAGAACUCAUUUUCGUCAGUGUGGCUGCGUUUAUCGUUGAGACUUUAAUCUUUAUGGGUUAUGAAUGCACUCGAGUGGUUAGGCUCAAUUUAAACAGCCAUCGAGAACGACCAGAGAUCGCAGCCUUAUUUACGAUAGCUGUCAAUAAUAAUAGUCAUAAUAAACACAAUCGCCGCGAUCCCUUGUGGCUGAAGGUGUUGCACCCAUGCGGCGAGGGUGCGAGUUCGUUUUAAUAUUGACCGAUUCCGAUAAUGUCAUAAAUGUGACAGCGAUAAAAAUCAACUCAAUUUAGCCGCGUUGUGAGUGUGUGGCAAGGGGGUCGGUCCUCUUCCUCGCCGGAUAGAUAGAUGUAUCUGCUACCCUGCAGCGCUGGCAAAUGUUUGAUCGAAUGUCUCACCGCACAUAUUGACAUUGUGAUUAGGGUUCGACGGAAACAUUCCUCCAAGCAGGAAGCUUGCACAACCCAGCUCCGCUCAAAAUGCCCACAAUUGACGGACAGAGAACGGCACACAUUGCCGAUGUCGAUGGCUCAGCCAUUGCCAUUGCCAUUUCCAUUUGCACUUCCAUUUCCCAUUUCAGUUGGAGACGGCGAACAUUUUAUGCAAAAUCGGACACGACUUUGCACUAAAAAUGAAGCGAUCCCGCAGAGAAACUUUGACCAGGCUGGCCAAAAAGGGAGGAGCACUAUAAACAUCACUACUGAUCUUGAAAGUUCGCCAUUUACAUAAGAAAUUUAAGGAGGUAAAAGAGUUGGACAAACAAUAUACUUAAUGGCAGAAUGAAAUAUAUAAUAUACUUAAGCCAAACUUAACCAUUCAUAAUAAAAACUAAUCCUCUGUAAGCUAGAGACUCUUUAGCAAUGUCGAAUGUUACUUCCUGAGGCAGUUCUUCUUUGAAGAGACUCAAGGAGACUGUCAAUGCAUAUGCAGAUAUAUGAACACUGUCAGUCAUCUUGCAGUUUGGCGCAGACAUUGCAGACAUUCAGUCCAGCGGAGCUGGGUAAGAUUUCUGCGCAUAGAUUGGAAACCAGAGGAAGGAAAUAAAUUGCUUUUGGCUUAUGCAAAAGCCAGCUCCGCUUGCCGCCGCAGGAAGAUGCUGGCCAGCCCGGAGUCAGCCAUCCCAAGUUGCCAGCCAGCAAAGCGCGAAAUUUCUCGUACGUGUGCGAUGGUCCCGGCAUCGGCGGAAUGGAGUCAAGGAAGUCAAGAGGAACUGUGGAGAAUUGCGAAAUAUUCUGCGGCGUUGUUAUCGCCGCCUUUGGAUCGCUAAGGUUGAGGCUCCGCAAGCGGAAUGCGACGCACAAUUAAUCAUAUCUGAAUAUAUUGCGCCCUUUGGUGGUAUAAAUCUUGCUGGGCUUUAAGUCCAGCUCACUCUCUCUCUCUCGGAGGAAACUUAACAAAAUAAUAAAAAAUGAAACGAGAAGAAAAUAAAAAAUAAGAACUGCGCAUUUAAGCGCUUCACGCGCAUGCGCAACCAAUCGCUUGAUUAGUUCCCAAACUCGAGGCUCAGGGAUUAGCUCAUAAAAAAUAAAGUGAACAGGAAAUAAGCUUAGGAGGUAAUGGCAUCCGAAUGGUGCGGAUCAACAUUCCAUCCGUCUGGGCCAGCUUAUUAUAGCUCGUAAUGAGCGUUCCCAGCUGCAUUUCUGCAGCCCAUUUGCCAAUUAAAUGAAAUUAAAGUCAUAUCUGGCAAUUGCUCUCGCUCGACGCGUCUUGCCUUCUGGGACUGAUGAGGUGUCGCCAGUGGGACGCGUAAUUAACCCCAUGGAUACUGGUCUCUAUGCCACAUCCAAAGACCAGAGCAGCAGCAGACUCUUCUAAUUAAAUUGUGCUGGCUACUUUUUAAUUAAGUACACACUGGCAGGCAUCCAACAUUUAUAGAACUGCCACAUGGGAUCGGUGGUAAUAUAAGGGCCUGACGAAUGCUAGAAUCAAAUCAAGGAAAGUCUACGUAGUUAAUUAAAGCAGUAUUGCGAAUAUUUUUGAUAAGCAAACUGCCUUCAUAAGUUGCGAGAUUAUUUUCGCAAUGAGUACUCCCGCCAUUUAAACCAUCUUUAAACUGCUCGACUGCAGAUUUAAGCUUAAUAAAUAAUAGUUUUCCGCACAAGUUGCCCCAUUGUGUCCGCUCUGCUUGGGGGCAAUUCCGAGUUGAUUCAGUGCAUCAUAAGCAGGGACAAUGUUAUUGACGUUGUGGAACCGAUGUGGUCUCUCCUGGGCAGCCGCAGCCCAGAAAGAAGACCGCAAUUAAGUGCAUAUAAAUUUCGCAAUUUUACGAUCUUCGCUCUUAUAAAAAUGCUCACUCUAUGGCCACAGUUACAGUCACAGCUGCCAAAGGAGCACCCAAAAGACCAGGUCUCAAAGGCAUUAAAUGCGGCGAUUUAUGUCCACGUGUUCGAACUGGCGGAAAAUAUGAGCAAAAUGCAUUCGUGACCGAAACGAGGAUGCCCGCUGUUUUUCUAUUGCUAAUUAGCCGUGACAUUGUUUAGCUACGGGCCAUGAACUUUUUCACAAAAACGCGACUAGACAAGUGUUACUACUAAGAGACCAAAAAACUUUAAGCAACAGAACAUAUUUUAGAUUGUAGUAGUAGUAUUCUACCAUUUCCUCCUCUUUUUUUGUGUGCAAAACCGGAUUAAAAACCCUUGGCAAAUAUGCCCUUCCACGGGGCUUAUCUUAAUUUUUGCAUUUAAUAACCGCAUUGCGGCUGAAACGAGCCGGCAAACUGCCACCGGUCAGUCAGUUGGGCAGCGAUCGCAACGGGCGGCCAUUUAGCUUAAUAUGGCCAAGUAAAUUCUUGGCCAACUAUCCGGAGGUGUGAAGAAAAGUGUCGACUUGUUAAGCUGCGGCCACAGCGGGCCCAGACAGAUAGCCACCACCACCACCAGAGCUCUGGACAGGAUCGCCUGAGUUGCGAGCGCAUUUCUCGGAAACAACGCGCUCGAUUCGUGGAAGCAAUAAAUAAGAAGCUUUAUUCCCUUUUUUUCCGGCACAAGGACGACAUGGCGAAAAAAGGGCCGACGGACCAACACCACCGCCCUGUCGCACUCAAUUAGCGAACGCGAACGCGAGUCGCGCGCGUUUUUGGCGCGGCGAAAUCCGUUUGAUUUUCAUCUUGGCCAACUUAACGAUCGGCGUGCGGUUUUCUUGUUGAAGCAAAUUAACUAGACUGGUCUAGAGAUUAUCAACACCCAGCUACUCCUUUCCGCUGGCUGUCAACACUCAGCAUUGUCUUUGCGAAUGAAAUCCAGACGAACAAUGGCUGGAAAAUAAUAUACAAGUUGCCUAUAAAGUGCCUGCUUAAGCUUUGAUGAGCUUAGAGCCAUAAACAACAUAAUGGUAGCUGCUCUAUAAAACAAAAUACGUGGCCAAGUGGAAUAGAGCUGAAAUUAAACUCCCCCCAUUCGAGCCAAUUCAAUUUGGGGAUUCCAACGAACUCUGUGUACACUUUAUGGGCAAAAGUCAUUCAAAGCGGUUGUUAAAACCGAAAUUUGUUUUCUUAAUUAGUUCGGGCAGCUAAAAUUUAAUUAAAUUUAAAGUGGGAGCGAAUAAUGCAGCAGAUUCAUUUCAGAGAAAUAUUUUCAGCUUCUUCACAUGGUCAAAAUAUACUCCAAAAUAACUAACUAAAACUUUUGUUCUUCUACUUUCAUUAGUGCACAAGUCAAAAUAGAGAAGAUAAGAUUAAUAUAACUAUAAAUAAUAUGUUUAUAGGAAAUGGUUAUCAGCUAUAAAAUAUUAUAACUAGAGGAAAGAAGAGUACCGCCCAAUCAUAAAGAUUUCCUAUCAGAUAUAGUAGCUUUUAUAGAUUUUGCUCUUUGAAAUGUGUGCAAAAGUAGAUUAGUUGACUAUAUAGCCUUUCCUAUUAAAAAGUGCACAGUAUCUGCGCACCAUGAAGUGUAUAAAUUGAUCACGGCAAAUAUUUUUGAUAUUCAUAUUUAAAUCGCUUUAAAAUCGCAUCAAAGCCGAAUGACCAAUUGAAGUGCCUCGAUUCCAUUCCGCUUUCAAAUCGGAUCGUCGCAGAUGGUCGGCGCAUAAACUCGGUUGUUUAUGGGCCUAAGCCGCUUUGGCUUUCCUGGCUGAGUAACUCCGAUCGUGGUUUCAGUGCCUCCGCAUCUUGGCCUGGUCUGCGUGACCACUUCUUUUCAGCCAUCGGCCAUCGGCCAUUGGCGGUGUCUAAUCCAUGGCAAUUAAUUACAUCGUUACACGCGCUGCCGCCAAACAACUUAAUACAACAUAAAUAAUUGUCAAAAUGCUCGGCCACAGACGCGCGAAUUAGUCUUCAUUAUGUCAAUAAAUCUUGGCCAAUUGCCACACCGGAUCAUGCAACAUUCAAACGGGAGUCAAUAUAUCUUUAUGCACCUGUCCCACGCCGAAAUGGAAACCGAAGCGGGAACAUGUCCAAUUUUCAUUUCAAUUAACGAUGCUACUUUCGUGAAGUUAAAAAUGCUUAUAUCUAUAAAAGAUAUUCUUUCUGAGAAGCAAGUAAAUGCAAUCAUGUGGCAGGCAAUUUUCAAGAGAAUAUCCAUUUUAAAUUAUCAUUUCAUUUAAUCAUAGGGGAAAUGCCAAUUGCCUUAUUGAUCGACUGUUCAGUUUUUACAGAGACAUACUAUAUAAGAAGUGGACGCCAAAGUUGGUCUAUGGCCGUCUCAAAAGAUGAUUAUGGUCAUGACAACUUAAUGACGAACGCAGCUCGGCCUGGGAACCCGAUCCGAUCCGUUGCGAUCCCAAAAGCGAGCCCUCGUCGUCUGGAAGCCCCUCAAGUUGCCCGGUGACCGAAAAACGAGACUGGCAAAUUUGCAUAAAAAUCAGUGGAGUAUAUUGCCCGGAUUCCCCGCCUCCUUCAGGUGACAUUAACAAGCCACAAAAAAGGAAGCAGCAGCCACUGUGAUACGACCAAAUUUUAAUUAAAAGUUUAGUGGAGCGAGAGACACACGCCAACGACAACGCGAAAACACACAGCAGCAACAUCAACACCAAAAGCAAACCAAGAACAACCCAGCACAGUGGGCUCAAACUACAUUUUUGUGUCAUAUUUCAACAAAAUAUUUAUAUUACUCUGGCGAAAAACAUAGUUUUGUGUACAGGGAUCCUUGAAUAAAGUGGAUAUUUCAAAGAACUCGAUUUUACUUGGAUAAACACUAGCUUUGUGCCCAUUGUACAUCGACCACAAGAGCAACAUCGGGAAGCUGAGAUCUUUGGGGCACAGCGACCGCAAAAGGUUGCUGGGGCAGAAUGCCGUGCAACAAGUGUCAGGCCGUGCAACAUGGCUAACAAGCGUCGCCUGUUCGUCGCCGGCAACGUUCGCUGUCAGCUCAUACACGCCAAAAAAAAAACAAAAUGAAAAGGAAAUAGCACGGAAAAAAGAUACACACAGAGGACGAGGUGUUAAAGUAAAUAUGCAAGCGCUUACAACAAAUUUUACAUGCCGCUGCUAUAAUUGAAAAAUCAUGUUGCCGCACAGCAAAUGUUGCCGCACAGCAAAUGUUGCCGCGACUGCGCAACAUGUUGCUACAUGACUUUGUGCUUAGCCAGAAAAUGCAGCGACUAAGGUCAGCACUAAAAACAUGAAUAUUUUGGCUAAAAAGAUGCCGGAAAAUGAUGGAAAAUUUGUGUACUAAAGCGCGAAGAAUGCGGCUAAAAGGUGUGGUUUUUAUUUUUUUAAAAACAAGACAAAUAAGGUCAAUAACCCCACAAGAUAUAAAAAGUAGAGUACGAUUUCAGUUGAAGUUUUAAUAAUAUCAGCAGUGCCUUAUAAGCAACUUUGGUGCAGGUGCCUGUGGGUUCUCAGCUCCCAAGUAACUCAGAAUUUGUUAUCUUAGCAAUUCCCCCAAGCGGCUUGCGGAUGUGCAACGCCAUUGAAGGGAUAGCUGCUCUGCUUUGGCUCAGAUUUUUGCGCUAAGAGAAUCGCAAAACCACGCCGCGAAUCACGUACAU
rnacentral:sRNA from 1 species